rnacentral:rRNA from 1 species
CGGUCCAGACUCCUACGGGAGGCAGCAGUAGGGAAUCUUCCGCAAUGGGCGAAAGCCUGACGGAGCAACGCCGCGUGAGUGAUGAAGGUCUUCGGAUCGUAAAACUCUGUUGUUAGGGAAGAACAAAUUUGUUAGUAACUGAACAAGUCUUGACGGUACCUAACCAGAAAGCCACGGCUAA